rnacentral:rRNA from 1 species
UACGUAGGUGGCGAGCGUUGUCCGGAAUUACUGGGUGUAAAGCGCGUGUAGGCGGGAGGCCAAGUCUGUGGUGAAAUCGCUCGGCUUAACUGGGCGGGGUCCAUGGAAACUGGUCACCUGGAGGUCGGUAGAGGCAAGUGGAAUUCCCGGUGUAGUGGUGAAAUGCGUAGAGAUCGGGAGGAACACCAGUGGCGAAGGCGGCUUGCUGGGCCGGACCUGACGCUGAGACGCGAAGGCGUGGGGAGCAAACAGGG